rnacentral:lncRNA from 1 species
AUGUGGGGCCGCGUCCACGCUGACAGGAGCCCCGGCCUCCUCAGGACCUGCGGUGAGACUUCAGGAAGAUGUGGGGCCGCAUCCUCGCUGACAGGAGCCCCGGCCUCCUCAGGACCCGCGGUGAGUUUUCGGGAUGACGUGGGGCCGCGUCCGCGGGGACAGGACCCCCGGCCUCCUCAGGACCCGCGGGGAGUUUUCGGGAUGACGUGGGGCCGCGUCCACGCUGACAGGAGCCCCGGCCUCCUCAGGACCCGCGGGCAGGGCUCAUGCAGCAGCACAUCACGGACAAAUGUCCCCAAGCCCCCUGGGAACACUGGUCCUCCCACCGCAUCCCCUCCGUCCUUGCCCCAAUCUCUGCUCCUGUUUUUUCUCCCCUCACCCACAGCCUGAAGCCGGACCCUGUCUACCUGCACCCUGCCCUCCCCUUCCCACACACCCGGGAGCUCCCUGAUUCCCAGAGCCACCUCCUCCCUGCAGGACCUUCGCCAUCUUUCCACAAAUGGGUCUCUUGGGCCUCACUUAGCUUCUCCAACUCUAUCUCCUGAGCUUUCUCCCUUCAAUACACAACUGUUCCAGGCAGUCCUGGUGGACUUGGAGCCUCUGUCCAGUGACCUCGGGGGUGCACACCUCCUGGCUCAGCCAGCCUCAGUUCAAGGAUACUGGAUACAUAUUAGGAUCCCCUGGGACCUUGUAUAAAUCCUGAGGUCCAGACCACACCCCAGUCAAGGACUACAGAAUCUCGGGGGUGGGAUCCAGGCACAGGUGGCUUUCAGAGCUCCCCCGGUGACUCCUCCAGGCAGCUGGGGGGACAACCAGUCUGUCCAUGCCCUCCCUCGUUCACCAUGUCCACCAGCAAAACCAAGGCUCCCUGUGUCCCAGGAGGUCCUGGGCAGCUGACUGGGUACAGGUGAGGGGCACCGGGGAGCAACAAUCUGGGUUGGGGAGCAGAGGGAGAACGUGAAAUGGGGCCCGCAGGGCGAGGAUGGACGCCUGCUACAGCCCUGGCGUGAGCUCAAUUUCUACAGGCCUCUCGGGCUUGUCCCAAGGAGGGAAGGCAUGAGGGCUCACACAUGACACGACUGGGUAUCAGAGGGUGGGCAGGACACAGGCCUCCCGGCACGUGGUCUCUGGGGCGAAGGGUCGGCAGGAAACUGCUGGAUCCAGGCCCAUCGGAUUGAAGCUCCGCCUGCGGCGGCUGGGGCCCAGAAAGGGCUGACACCGGCC